rnacentral:rRNA from 1 species
GAUGAACGCUGGCGGUAUGCUUAACACAUGCAAGUCGAACGGACUCUUCGGAGUUAGUGGCGGACGGGUGAGUAACGCGUGAGAAUCUGGCUUUGGGUUCGGGACAAUCACUGGAAACGGUGGCUAAUACCGGAUGUGCCGAGAGGUAAAAGAGAAAUUGCCUGAAGAUGAGCUCGCGUCUGAUUAGCUAGUUGGUGAGGUAAAGGCUCACCAAGGCAGCGAUCAGUAGCUGGUCUGAGAGGAUGACCAGCCACACUGGGACUGAGACACGGCCCAGACUCCUACGGGAGGCAGCAGUGGGGAAUUUUCCGCAAUGGGCGAACGCCUGACGGAGCAAUACCGCGUGAGGGAAGAAGGCUCUUGGGUUGUAAACCUCUUUUCUUAGGGAAGAACAAAAUGACGGUACCUAAGGAAUCAGCAUCGGCUAACUCCGUG